UACGGGAGGCAGCAGUGGGGAAUAUUGGGCAAUGGACGAAAGUCUGACCCAGCGACGCCGCGUGAGGGAAGAAGGUCUUCGGAUUGUAAACCUUAGUCAACAGGGACGAAGCAAGUGACGGUACCUGUGGAGGAAGCCACGGCUAACUACGUGCCAGCAGCCGCGGUAAU
rnacentral:rRNA from 1 species